UACGCGGUGACACAGCAGAGUUUAUGUUUUGAGAUUAUGUCAGAAACGUUUAUUUUUGUGAAUUUAUUAGGCCUUGAACGAAUUGUAUUUUAUGUCGUUUGCACGUACUAUGAAGUUAUUUGUGUUGUUGUAUCUGACAAGCAGUUGACCUAUUUAUGCGCCUUCCACUUUAUGAAUCGUGUUUUAAUUUUCAGACUUAAGGAUUUACUAAAGAUUGUCGAGGCGGAAGGAUUUGUGAUCUUUGAUCUUUUAUGCAUUAUUGUGUCGGUUAAACUCAUUAUGUGCUUUGAAAUCGUUGAUUAUGUCUAACCUUCCUGUCAUCACUUCGAACGCACAUCAAAUGCAUUACCAGAACUAGAACAGUAGAAGUGACAGGCACAGCCAUGCAUUGUCGAGUCAGUGCACAUGUACUGGGAAUUCAUGCCCGGUGACGUAAAUUUCCAUGACGUUACUGAAGAAAGGUCCAUGUGUGAAAUUCCCCUACCUGCACUACCAGUGAUGGACAGAAAAACGAAGCCCAACAUCACCAAAUCAGAGGAGCUACUUUUGUUUGUAGAAUAUUCAAAAGUUUCCCAGAAUUUGGAGGCAAACUUCGGGCCUGGUGUCACCAACAAAUGGAAACGCUUGGCAAAACAUUACUGAUGCAUUGAAUAGUCACAACACAGAUGUCAUUCGAAAGUGGAAGACGUGAAGAAGAAAUAGAAGAACGUGAACCAAAAAGGCAUCAAGACCCUACAACGUACAAAACGGCAUGUACAGUGUCACAGAAGGUAUUUGUACAUGUCUCUGAUAACCUGCAACUAAAACAUUCAAAAUAAAAACACUCAAAUACAUAAAAUCAUGAUCCAAAUAUCAAAAUAUAAAUGAGACAUUUUUUUAAUGCAUGGUUGUGUUGAUUCAAGUUUUAAAAAAGCUGACUUAAUAUAUAGUAAUAACCAGAAUGAACAAAGGGUGGGCCAUUGGUGAAAAUCACGGAUGUA